CGGGGCCGCGGAGGCUGGGCUAGUGCCUGGCACGUGUUUGGUGGCCAGUACUUGUCGGAGGUAUAAUUUGCUUUAAUUUGAAGAAUACUGCUGAAACCUAAAAUACAUAUAUUAGAAAAGAAGGCUGAAGAAUCCAUCAUCUAAGCUCCAUCCAUCUCUACAAGUUAGAAAAAAUAAAAAAGGCAGAGUUAAAAAUUCUGAUUAACGAAGAGAAAUAUUUGCCAGCCAGAAUUUCUACUGAGAAUCAUUUAUUGAAGAAGCAAACAUCAAGGAGUUUGAUCCUCUAACCAUUGGUUUCCUCCAGCAUCAGCAUUCUCCUCCACAGGGGAUGAUACUGGAAGUGACAACCAUUAAGUUUCCCUUGAUCGUCGGGGGAUUCAGCAAGUUCUAUAAUUCUUCACGUGCAAUAUUGUGAGAUCUACUCACACUGCCAAAAUGGACAUCUGUUUUAUUCUGAAAGCUGCAUGGACCUCUAUGAAGACACCUUCCACAGUUUACUAGUUGAUUUCUGGACUAGUCUCACCCAGGCUGCCUUCAAAAUGGCCACCUGCCACCACAAAUAAUACUGCAAUAAACAUGUAUGUCACUUUACAAAGCUA